AUUGAACGCUGGCGGCAGGCCUAACACAUGCAAGUCGAGCGGAUGAAGGGAGCUUGCUCCUGGAUUCAGCGGCGGACGGGUGAGUAAUGCCUAGGAAUCUGCCUGGUAGUGGGGGAUAACGUCCGGAAACGGGCGCUAAUACCGCAUACGUCCUGAGGGAGAAAGUGGGGGAUCUUCGGACCUCACGCUAUCAGAUGAGCCUAGGUCGGAUUAGCUAGUUGGUGGGGUAAAGGCCUACCAAGGCGACGAUCCGUAACUGGUCUGAGAGGAUGAUCAGUCAAACUGGAACUGAGACACGGUCAAGACUCCUACGGGAGGCAGCAGUGGGGAAUAUUGGACAAUGGGCGAAAGCCUGAUCCAGCCAUGCCGCGUGUGUGAAGAAGGUCUUCGGAUUGUAAAGCACUUUAAGUUGGGAGGAAGGGCAGUAAGUUAAUACCUUGCUGUUUUGACGUUACCAACAGAAUAAGCACCGGCUAACUUCGUG
rnacentral:rRNA from 1 species